AUUGAACGCUGGCGGUAUGCCUAACACAUGCAAGUCGAACGGUAACACAUUAAGAGCUUGCUCUUACGGGUGGAGAGUGGCGUAAUGGUGAGGAAUACAUCCGAAUCUACGGGUUCGCGGGGCGUAACGUAUGCUAAUAUACCCUACUACCUCAUACGACCUACGGGUGAAAGCAGGAGAUCUUCGGACCUUGCGCGAUUGAAUGAGCCGAUGUCGGAUUAGGUAGUUGGCGGGGUAAAGGCCCACCAAGGCGACGAUCCGUAGCUGGUCUGAGAGGAUGAUCAGCCACACUGGAACUGAGACACGGUCCAGACUCCUACGGGAGGCAGCAGUGGGGAAUAUUGGACAAUGGGCGCAAGCCUGAUCCAGCCAUACCGCGUGGAUGAAGAGGGCCUUCGGGUUGUAAAGUCCUUUUGUUGGGAAAGAAAAGCAGCAGGUUAAUACCCCGCUGUCAUGACGGUACCCAAAGAAUAAGCACCGGCUAACUUCGUG
rnacentral:rRNA from 1 species